rnacentral:rRNA from 1 species
AAAUUGAAGAGUUUGAUCAUGGCUCAGAUUGAACGCUGGCGGCAGGCCUAACACAUGCAAGUCGAGCGGUAGCACAGAAGAGCUUGCUCUUUGGGUGACGAGCGGCGGACGGGUGAGUAAUGUCUGGGAAACUGCCUGAUGGAGGGGGAUAACUACUGGAAACGGUAGCUAAUACCGCAUAACCUCGCAAGAGCAAAGAGGGGGACCUUAGGGCCUCUCGCCAUCAGAUGUGCCCAGAUGGGAUUAGCUAGUAGGUGAGGUAAUGGCUCACCUAGGCGACGAUCCCUAGCUGGUCUGAGAGGAUGACCAGCCACACUGGAACUGAGACACGGUCCAGACUCCUACGGGAGGCAGCAGUGGGGAAUAUUGCACAAUGGGCGCAAGCCUGAUGCAGCCAUGCCGCGUGUGUGAAGAAGGCCUUCGGGUUGUAAAGCACUUUCAGCGGGGAGGAAGGCAGUAAGGUUAAUAACCUUGCUGAUUGACGUUACCCGCAGAAGAAGCACCGGCUAACUCCGUGCCAGCAGCCGCGGUAAUACGGAGGGUGCAAGCGUUAAUCGGAAUGACUGGGCGUAAAGCGCACGCAGGCGGUCUGUUAAGUUGGAUGUGAAAUCCCCGGGCUUAACCUGGGAACUGCAUUCAAAACUGACAGGCUAGAGUCUUGUAGAGGGGGGGGUAGAAUUCCAGGUGUAGCGGUGAAAUGCGUAGAGAUCUGGAGGAAUACCGGUGGCGAAGGCGGCCCCCCUGGACAAAGACUGACGCUCAGGUGCGAAAGCGUGGGGAGCAAACAGGAUUAGAUACCCUGGUAGUCCACGCUGUAAACGAUGUCGAUUUGGAGGUUGUGCCCUUGAGGCGUGGCUUCCGGAGCUAACGCGUUAAAUCGACCGCCUGGGGAGUACGGCCGCAAGGUUAAAACUCAAAUGAAUUGACGGGGGCCCGCACAAGCGGUGGAGCAUGUGGUUUAAUUCGAUGCAACGCGAAGAACCUUACCUACUCUUGACAUCCAGAGAACUUAGCAGAGAUGCUUUGGUGCCUUCGGGAACUCUGAGACAGGUGCUGCAUGGCUGUCGUCAGCUCGUGUUGUGAAAUGUUGGGUUAAGUCCCGCAACGAGCGCAACCCUUAUCCUUUGUUGCCAGCGAUUCGGUCGGGAACUCAAAGGAGACUGCCGGUGAUAAACCGGAGGAAGGUGGGGAUGACGUCAAGUCAUCAUGGCCCUUACGAGUAGGGCUACACACGUGCUACAAUGGCGUAUACAAAGAGAAGCGACCUCGCGAGAGCAAGCGGACCUCAUAAAGUACGUCGUAGUCCGGAUUGGAGUCUGCAACUCGACUCCAUGAAGUCGGAAUCGCUAGUAAUCGUAGAUCAGAAUGCUACGGUGAAUACGUUCCCGGGCCUUGUACACACCGCCCGUCACACCAUGGGAGUGGGUUGCAAAAGAAGUAGGUAGCUUAACCUUCGGGAGGGCGCUUACCACUUUGUGAUUCAUGACUGGGGUGAAGUCGUAACAAGGUAACCGUAGGGGAACCUGCGGUUGGAUCACCUCCUUACCAAGAAG